rnacentral:lncRNA from 10 species
GGUGUGUGCCACCAUGCCUAGCUAAUUUUUUAUUUUUAAUAGAGACAGGGUUUUGCCAUGUUGGCCAGGCUGGUCUCAAACUCCUGACCUUAGGUGAUCUGCCUGUCUCGGCCUCCCAAAGUGCUGGGAUUACGGGUGUGAGCCACCACACCUGGCCCAUUAACCUAUUCUUAAGGAUUGACUUGUAUCCUCCAGAAAGAUAUGCUGAAGCUUUCACCCUUGGAAUCUGUGUAUGUGACCUUAUUUGGAAAAGGGCUUUUGCAGUAUAAUCAAUUAAAAUGAGGUCAUUCGAGUGGGUCCUAAUCCAACGUGGCUGGUGCCCUAAAGAAGGAGGAAAAUGCCAUCUGAAGACAGGACACACAUGGGAAACAACACAUGACAAUGGAGGCCGAGACUGGAGUGAUGAGCUGUGAGCCAGGGAACACUAAGGAUUGCUGGGCAGCACCAGAAGCCAGGAAGAGGCAUGGAAGGAUUCUACCCAGAGUCUCAAAGGGAGCAAGACUCUGCUGUCACACUGAUUUUAGACUUCUAGCCUCCAGAAUGGUGAGAGAAUAUGUUUUUGUGGUUUUAAGCCACCCAGUUUGUGGCCCUUUGUUAUGGCAGGCUUAGGGAACUAAUAGACCUACUGAGAGCUAUCUUGAUCCAGCUGUUGACAAUUAUGAAGAAAACCAUGAUAAACAUCUGUGUGCAGGUUUUUGUUUGGGCAUAAGUUUUCAACUUGUUUGAGUAAAUACCUAAGAGUGUGACUGUUAGAUUAUACGUUAAGACAAUGUUUAGCUUUGUUAGAAACUAGUAAACUGGCCAGGUGUGGUGGCGCGUGCCUGUAGUCCCAGCUACUCAGGAGGCUGAGGCAGGAGGAUCGCUUGAGGCCAGGAGUUCUGGGCUGCAGUGCACUAUGUUGCCUGGGCGUCUGCGCUAAGUUCAGCAUCAAUAUGAUGACCUCCCGGGAGCAGGGAACCACCAGAUUGCCUAAGAAGGGGUAAACUGGCCAAGGUUGGAAACAGAGCAGGUCAAAACUCCCGUGCUGAUCAGUAGUGGGAUGGUGCCUGUGAAUAGCCACUGUACUCCAGCCUGGGCAACACAGCAAGACCCCAUCCCUAAAAAAACAUUAAAAAUAAAAAUAGGCUGCCGGGCACGGUGGCUCACGCCUGUAAUCCCAGCACUUUGGGAGGCCGAGGCAGGUGGAUCACGAGGUCAAAAGAUCGAGAACAUCCUGGCCAACAUGGUGAAACCCCAUCUCUACUAAAAAUACAAAAAUUUGCGGGGUGUGGUGGCGCAUGCCUGUAGUCCCAGCUACUUGGGAGGCUGAGGCAAGAGAAUCACUCGAACCCGGGAGGCAGAGGUUGAAGUGAGCCAAGAAUGUGCCACUGCACUCCAGCCUGGCGACAGAGUGAGACUCCAUCUCAGAGAAAAAAAAAAAAAAAGGCCAGGCACAGUGGUUCAUGCCUGUAAUCCCAGCACUUCAGGAGGCCGAGAUCGGUGGAUCACCUGAGAUCAGGAGUUCAAGACAAGCCUGGCCAACAUAGUAAAUGAAACCCUGUCUCUACUAAAAAAACAAACAAACAAACAAAAAACAAAAAAAAUACAAAAAUUAGCCACGCUUGGUGGCGGGUGCCUGUAAUCCCA